UUGUUGUCCUCGUCCUGGUUGUUCUGGUUGUUGUACAGUUGCUUCACCACGCUAUCCAAGCCAUAUGAAUUUGGCAAGGGAUGCUGUUAAAAGGUCGUUCUCAUGUCCUUUCCCCUCUUACCUGUUUGGCAUCUAUGACCGCCUUCCCGCCGGACCGCUUGCCAUGAGCUGUGGAAUACAUAAACAUGAGUCACGACUCCUGGACCAGUUGUGAUGAACUGCUCGCGUCAGAGCUUAGCCGGCGAACCACUUACCUCCCCAACAGGAAUGUCCGUAUUCCAGGCAGGAACCUGAAAGUAUGCAACAUUUUUUCCAAUUUAGUAUAAAUCAUCAUCAGUUGCCGCAGCUCUAAGACUUUGUGCGCGAGUAAAUUUGCUAGAAACGCAGCCAGGUGUUUGAAAACCUACACAGCACAGCAGCGUAGCUUCGACCACACAGCGAGCCUAAGCCUGGGCUUUAAAACUUUCACUUUUUUUACGGUUCUAUAGUAAAAGCUACUUUCACCAGCAUCCCAUUGAUGCUGCUGCUACUUCGGCUGCUACUUGCCGUGUAAAAAGCACAAGUUUAUUGUGUGCGCUUGGCUGCUAAUGUCGCGACCCAUGAUAAAUGCGACCAUUAUGGAACUCAUAUGCCAAGUCGGAGUGGGUUGAGUAAUGCACUCGGCUUGGGCACUUCAAGGUGUAGCAGUCCUGCAUCCCAGCAGUUUAAAAAUUCAACAACACUGUGGGAAGAUACACCACAAAAUACAAUAAUAUAAUUCCUAUCUGAUUAUCUCUUAGGAACUUUAACAAAUAAAAAAUGUUCUUAUUAAGCA